UACCUAUAAUUCCAUUGUUGGAGAGGCAAC
rnacentral:piRNA from 1 species